AACGAACGCUGGCGGCAUGCCUAACACAUGCAAGUCGAACGAGACCUUCAGGUCUAGUGGCGCAUGGGUGCGGAACGCGUGGGGAGCUGCACUUGGGUUCGGAAUAACUCCCCGAAAGGGGUGCUAAUACCGGAUAGUGUCUUAGGACCGAAGAUUUAUCGAAUUGGAAGGGGCCCGAGUUGGAUUCGCUAGUGGGUAGGGUAAAAGCCGACCAAGGCGACGAUCACUAGCUGGGCUGGGAGGCUGAUCAGCCACUCUUGGACUGAGACACGGCCCAGACUCUUACGGGAGGCAGCAGUGGCUAAUAUUGCACAAUGGGCUAAAUCCUGAUCCACCUCUGCCGCUUGAGUGAUGUAGGCCUUAGGGUUGUAAAGCUCUUUUACCCGGGAUGAUAAUGACAGUACCGGGAGAAUAAGCUCCGGCUAACUCCGUG
rnacentral:rRNA from 1 species